UUUAAUAUGGCAGAUUAGUGCAUUGGAUUUAAAAUCCUUCCAUAAAGAUUAUCCCUCUUUUAUUAAAA
rnacentral:tRNA from 1 species